UUGUGUGCGGAGAUGAAGCAAAUUUUCGUGGACUAGAGUUUCCGAUCUUGCAGUUGACGAAACAACCCUUGGCGGUCUCAACAUGCUA